CUGAUAUUCGGAAUAAAGCAACUUUGUGGAUGGACAAGAUAAGGGGGAGGUGGAGAGUGUCUGCUCAUUUUGUUUACCCAGACCCUUUCAGUGGGUGUCCCAGAAUACCUCAUCAACAGUCAUAAACUGGGAGCUUCUAGCCAGGGGGAAAAAUAACUCCCUAUUUUCUUACUGGGAAGAUUCCAG